UACGGAGGGAGCAAGCGUUACUCGGAAUUACUGGGCGUAAAGGGCGCGUAGGCGGCUCUGUAAGUCUUGUGUGAAAGCCCCGGGCCUAACCCGGGAAGUGCACAGGAUACUGUAGGGCUUGAGUGCAGGAGAGGAAAGCGGAAUUCCCGGUGUAGCGGUGAAAUGCGCAGAUAUCGGGAGGAACACCAGCGGCGAAGGCGGCUUUCUGGACUGCAACUGACGCUGAGGCGCGAAAGCCAGGGGAGCAAACGGG
rnacentral:rRNA from 1 species